UACGAAGGGGGCUAGCGUUGCUCGGAAUCACUGGGCGUAAAGGGUGCGUAGGCGGGUCUUUAAGUCAGGGGUGAAAUCCUGGAGCUCAACUCCAGAACUGCCUUUGAUACUGAGGAUCUUGAGUUCGGGAGAGGUGAGUGGAACUGCGAGUGUAGAGGUGAAAUUCGUAGAUAUUCGGCAAGAACACCAGUGGCGAAGGCGGCUCACUGGCCCGGAACUGACGCUGAGUACGCGAAAGCGUGGGGAGCAAACAGG
rnacentral:rRNA from 1 species